rnacentral:rRNA from 1 species
GUCGUCAGCUCGUGUCGUGAGAUGUUGGGUUAAGUCCCGCAACGAGCGCAACCCUUGAUCUUAGUUGCCAUCAUUUAGUUGGGCACUCUAAGGUGACUGCCGGUGACAAACCGGAGGAAGGUGGGGAUGACGUCAAAUCAUCAUGCCCCUUAUGACCUGGGCUACACACGUGCUACAAUGGACGGUACAAAGAGCUGCAAGACCGCGAGGUGGAGCUAAUCUCAUAAAACCGUUCUCAGUUCGGAUUGUAGGCUGCAACUCGCCUACAUGAAGCUGGAAUCGCUAGUAAUCGCGGAUCAGCAUGCCGCGGUGAAUACGUUCCCGGGA